rnacentral:rRNA from 1 species
UACAGAGGUCUCAAGCGUUGUUCGGAUUCAUUGGGCGUAAAGGGUGCGUAGGCGGCGCGGUAAGUCGGGGGUGAAAUCUCGGAGCUUAACUCCGAAACUGCAUUCGAUACUGCCGUGCUUGAGGACUGGAGAGGAGACUGGAAUUUACGGUGUAGCGGUGAAAUGCGUAGAUAUCGUAAGGAAGACCAGUGGCGAAGGCGGGUCUCUGGACAGUUCCUGACGCUGAGGCACGGAAGGUCAGGGAAGCAAAACGGG